rnacentral:rRNA from 1 species
GAGUUUGAUCCUGGCUCAGAACGUACGCUGGCGGCACGCCUAACACAUGCAAGUCGAACGAAGUAGCAAUACUUAGUGGCAGACGGGUGAGUAACAUGUAGGUAUCUGCCCUUUGGCCUGGAAUAACACGAGGAAACUUGUGCUAAUACCGGAUAAGUCUUUACGGAGAAAGCUUUAUGCACCAUUGGAUGAGCCUGCACUUGAUUAGUUUGUUGGUGGGGUAAUGGCCUACCAAGACUGUGAUCAAUAGCUGAUUUGAGAGGAUGAUCAGCCACAUUGGGCCUGAGACACGGCCCAAACUCCUACGGGAGGCAGCAGUGGGGAAUCUUGCACAAUGGAGGAAACUCUGAUGCAGCGAUGCCGCGUGAGUGAAGAAGGCCCUUGGGUUGUAAAGCUCUUUCGUCGGGGAAGAAAAUGACUGUACCCGAAUAAGAAGGUCCGGCUAACUUCGUGCCAGCAGCCGCGGUAAUACGAAGGGACCUAGCGUAGUUCGGAAUUACUGGGCUUAAAGAGUUCGUAGGUGGUUGAAAAAGUUAGUGGUGAAAUCCCAGAGCUUAACUCAGGAACUGCCAUUAAAACUUUUCAGCUAGAGUAUGAUAGAGGAAAGCAGAAUUUCUAGUGUAGAGGUGAAAUUCGUAGAUAUUAGAAAGAAUACCAAUUGCGAAGGCAGCUUUCUGGAUCAUUACUGUCACUGAGGAACGAAAGCAUGGGUAGCGAAGAGGAUUAGAUACCCUCGUAGUCCAUGCCGUAAACGAUGUGUGUUAGACGUUGGAAAUUUAUUUUCAGUGUCGCAGCGAAAGCGAUAAACACACCGCCUGGGGAGUACGACCGCAAGGUUAAAACUCAAAUGAAUUGACGGGGACCCGCACAAGUAGUGGAGCAUGUGGUUUAAUUCGAAGAUACGCGCAGAACCUUACCAACACUUGACAUGUUCGUCGCGACUCUAAGAGAUUAGAGUUUUUGGUUCGGCCGGACGAAACACAGGUGCUGCAUGGCUGUCGUCAGCUCGUGUCGUGAGAUGUUGGGUUAAGUCCCGCAACGAGCGCAACCCUCACUUUUAGUUGCCAUCAUUAAGUUGGGCACUCUGAAAGAACUGCCAGUGAUAAGCUGGAGGAAGGUGGGGAUGACGUCAAGUCCUCAUGGCCCUUACGUGUUGGGCUACACACGUGCUACAAUGGUAUCUACAACAGGAAGCAAAACGGCAACGUUAAGCAAAUCCCGAAAAGAUACCUCAGUUCGGAUUGCACUCUGCAACUCGAGUGCAUGAAGCUGGAAUUACUAGUAAUCGUGGAUCAGCGUGCCACGGUGAAUGCGUUCCCGGGUCUUGUACACACCGCCCGUCACACCAUGGGAGUUGGUUCUACCUUAAGGCAAGGUUUUAAACCCUUGACCACGGUAUAGUCAGCGACUGGGGUGAAGUCGUAACAAGGUAACC